AAUCAACGCUGGCGGCGUGCCUAACACAUGCAAGUCGAACGGGAAAGUGGAGCAAUCCAUGAGUAUAGUGGCGACCGGGUGAGUAACACGUGACUAACCUACCUUCAAGUGGGGGAUAACCUCGGGAAACCGGGGCUAAUACCGCAUAACAUCUCUGUUAUGAGAAAGCAGAGAUCAAAGGAGUAAUUCGCUGGAAGAGGGGGUCGCGGCUGAUUAGCUAGUUGGUGGGGUAACGGCCCACCAAGGCUUUGAUCGGUAGCCGGCCUGAGAGGGCGCACGGCCACACUGGAACUGAAACACGGUCCAGACUCCUACGGGAGGCAGCAGUGGGGAAUUUUGCGCAAGUGGGGGAAACCCUGACGCAGCAACGCCGCGUGGAGGAUGAAGUCCC
rnacentral:rRNA from 1 species